rnacentral:pre_miRNA from 1 species
ACACCCGAGCAAAGCCGCCACCUGGGCGGCUUUGCUCCCAGGCAAACGAGCAAAGCCGCCCAGGCGGCAGCUUUGCUCGGGUGU